GAUUCCACAGUAUAAAAGUUAGCACAUCUGUUUUACACGCAGAAGGUCCUGGGUUCAUGCCCCAGUGGAGCCA
rnacentral:tRNA from 1 species